GCUGGGCGUGGUGGCAAACGCCUGUAGUCCCAGUGGCUUGGGAGGCUGAGGCAGGAGGAUUGCGAGUUCAAAGCCAGCCUCGGCAAAAGCAAGGCGCUAAGCAACUCAAUGAGACCCUGUUUCUA
rnacentral:sRNA from 1 species